rnacentral:rRNA from 1 species
AGACCGCGAACACGUGUUAAUCAACUCGUCGUACGGGCGCUUGCGCCCGAACGGCUAACGAACCCCGGCGCGGAAAGCGCCAAGGAAAACUACAAGGAAGCGUCGCCCCCUGGACGCCCGUCCGCGGUGCGCCUUGGGAGCGCGACGCCCCUAAAAAUGUCUAAACGACUCUCGGCAACGGAUAUCUCGGCUCUCGCAUCGAUGAAGAACGUAGCGAAAUGCGAUACUUGGUGUGAAUUGCAGAAUCCCGUGAACCAUCGAGUCUUUGAACGCAAGUUGCGCCCGAAGCCUUCUGGCCGAGGGCACGCCUGCCUGGGCGUCACGCAUCGCGUCGCCCCCCUCCAAGUCCCUAGGAACUUGCGAGCGGGAGCGGAAAAUGGUCUCCCGUGUGCCUAGCGGAACGCGGCUGGCCCAAAUGUGAUCCUGCAUCGAUGAAUGUCACGACCAGUGGUGGUUGAAAACUCAAUCGUGCUGUCGUGCGCCUACUCAUCGCUUGCCGUUUCCUCGAACACAAAAAAGGCGCCUCGCGCGCCCACGACCGCGACCCCAGGUCAGGCGGGACUACCCGCUGAGUUUAAGCAUAU